GCAGUAGCCUCCAGACGACCGCCAUAUUAAAACUCUGCUUGAGUCGUAAACAAGACGUUGCUGCUAACUGAAGGUCAUCACCUUGCUUGUUGCAAGGUUUAUGUUAACAAACAGCACAGCUAACAGUUGGGUCAAUGCCGAAUGCAGAAUAUCAGAGACGUUGGAAGCGAAUCACAGCUAAAGUAAAGAAAAUUAUGGAGUCGAUAGACAGCGAUGACAGCACCAGUGAUGGAAAUGAACAAAAACAUGAAUGUGAUGAAAGUUGUGAUUCAUCAUGCGAACUAGAUGCUGCUUUAUCCUCUGAGCCAGAUGAAGAUGAUGAAAAUCUUCUAUAUUAUGGAAGUAGUCCUUCAGACAAGUCAUAUGAAAGUGAUACAGAAACACAAAAUGGAGAAAUAACAGCCAGACUCAGUGAGGAGCUCACUGCACAGACUUGCAAGAACAAUUCCCCCCAUUCAUCAACAAAUGAAAUGCUGAAAAUAUUAAGACAGCAUGGAUUUUGCCUUCCUGAGGAUAGUGGUGCUCAGCUACAGUCACCCAGCACUGUUAUCACUGCUGAGAAUGGACAAGCGUUGGCUGAUGACCAGUGUGAAAUAUCCCCGUUGAGAAAACAGCUUGAUAAUGGUACCUCGGAGUUCUGUCUACACACAAAGGUAAAAUCCUCGCCUGUUUUACCUAAUCCUCCAACACAAACAGUCACUCCUGCUAUUGACUCCUAUCCCAGCCCCUCUAAACAUCUACCUCAAGCUGAGACAAUUGAUGACAUUGUAAGCUACCUAGAAGCCACAAACCCUGUAACUCCAUCAUCUGGCCAGCGGCAGCAAACUGAUUCCUCCUCUUCAGUCACCAUGGAUGAUGUGGAAUUGACAAAGCAACUUAUGAAACAAACUGCACGUCAUGUAUCUUGUGACAUCUUAAGUGAGAGGCCGUCAAAUGCUACCGAGAGGCAGAAGGCAGUUGUAGUACCAAUGCCGGUGACUCCGGGGGUAAAGCGUUCACAUGACAGAGAGUCUACCAGUUCUACUGGAUGUGCAACCCCAAGUAGGAAGGAUUCAAGUGGUAAACGUGCUAAGUUAUCUGACAAAGCUAAUGGAUCUAGACAACUAAACAGGCCAUUAUCAGAAACCUUCAGUACUCCUGUUUGUAAAACAGAAAAUCGUCCAUUCAAAAGAAGCCGUGAUAAGAGAGAGAAGUCGGUCUCUCACAAUUCAAGGGCAUCUCAUCCACCAGAGCACUGCAGAAAACUAAUUGAUAAGCCAACUAAUACAAAAUCUUCGGUCGUUAAACGUUUAUCUGGCGAACGCCUAUCGUCAUUUGAGAGGAAACGCAAGAGAUUGAGUAGCAGAGCGACACCCAUUGUGGAGAACAUGACAAUAGAAGACCAAAUUAAGAAAAUACAACGUGUCCAACAUAAGAUGCUCUAUAUGCUUGUUGAAAUACAAGAUAUGUUGAAGUCAUCAGGAAAUCAUUUGGAAAAAGAUUCAUUGGAAGAUUGCAGAAUUACUCAAGCAACAACUCCUAGCGAACUUGCCGCACUCGAGGAAGACUUGAAAGAUCUAACAAAACGUCAGAUUCUGGUACUGUGUGGUUAACUAAUGAUACCGUAAUCAAGCCUGUGUACCAUUUCUCUGUUUCAUUCGAACCUGCUUGUGGAAGUUUUCUCAACACUUCACGAUUGAGACCGACAAGAUAGUGAAAAUUGGAGGCAAGAACGCUAAAGA
rnacentral:misc_RNA from 1 species